UCCAGAAAUCCUCACUGUCGUGCUUUGAAACUGAAAAAAAAAUUGAGAAGGCUGAUUGAAGGCUCGAAGAAACAACUGCGUCUGGCUUGAUUCGAAGAAGAUUCGACAUGGCCGGCAAUGAGAUCACCGUUUGGAUACCCAAAAAAAUGAAGGGUGGAGAUGAUAUUCCUCAUUACGAACGCCAUGAUUACUUUACCAUGAAGAUUUAUCAUGGAGGGAACAUAUUUGGGAACAAGUAUGUAGGUGGGAAGAUCUCAUAUUAUGAUUACGUGGACAAGGAUAAGAUGUCUUUGACCAAGUUAGACAACAUGAUAAAGGGGCUGAACCCAGAUUAUGAUGGGAGUAGGAUAGAUUAUUGGUUUAGAAUAGGUUCAGAAGAUGAUGCUUUGACCAAGUUAAAUUCAGAUUUAGAUGUGAUGACCAUGGUGUGUUGUGUACCAGAUGAGAGGGUAGUGAUUCUAUACCUAGAUCACAUAUAUGAAGGUUAUGAAGGUGAUGAAGGCACUAAUGAGGAGGAUGAGGUGUACGUGUAUCCAGCUGACUUUGGCUUUAUGUUUAGUUAGUCUGGAUCUACUGGUGUGGUGAUUGAAAAGCUCCCUAAUGAGCCUAGAAAGAAGCCGACCUGUGUGAUUGAGGAGAUCUUUGAUGAACCCAAGAAGCCUACUAAUGCAACUAGGUCCCUAGGAAGCCAAAGAGAAGUACUGGUAUAGUUAUCAAAGAGGUUGAUGAUUGCACUCUUACGCAAGGUAGCAAGGUUUCUUAUGCAAAUCCGAAAGAGAAGGGGAAAGGAAAAAUGUUUCCUGAGGCUAGGGCAGAUGAGGUUAGUGGUUUAGAUGAAGAGGGUUUACAUGACAUAGACAUUCUUGACUACAUGCAGUCUUUUAGUUGCAUGCCUAGUCAAGAAAAGAGAGUUGAAGAUGAGUUUGAGGAGAAUGAUAGUGAAAAUGAUGAAAGCUACAUACCUGCUUUAGAGGAUGAGGAUUAUGAUUAUGGGAUUGUUGAUGAUGAAGAUGAAGUGCUAGAUGAACAGAAUAUAGGGUUGGAGGUUAAUGCAAUUGGUGAUUGGCUGGGACCAAGCACACAUGGAAGUGAAACACAUAAUGUGGAGUUCGAUAGUGGGGCGAAUUUCAGGAUAAUGAAGAGAUAUUUGGAGUUGCAUAUUCGGAUGAAGAAAGACCUGGACCGGCUUUGAAUUCUAAUGGUGAAAAGGAUGUCAUUUUGUCUGAGUUUAAUCCCAAGACAGAUAUGCAGAAAAUCCAGUUUUCUGAAAAGGGAUGAUAUUUGGCACAUCUGCAAUUUUGAGAGAGGCUAUAAGAGAGAGAGCUAUUAGAGAUGGUUGGGAGGUCUACUUCAUUAAAAAUGACAAGACAAGAGUGAGGGCUAUAUGUAGGGCAGAAGAUUGUCCAUUUGAGCUCUAUGCAUCUAGAAUCAGCACGAAAGCUCUCUACAGAUCAAGACAUAUGAGCCUGAACACAAGUGCUCUAGAAAGUUUGAGUCAUGCAUGUUGAGCGCUAAGUACUUGACCAAGCGCUUCAUGUAAAGAAUCAAGCUAAACACUGGAUGGAAGACAGACCAUGUCUUCGGAAGUUAGAGUAAAGGUCUCCAAGCAGAUGGCUUAUAGAGUGAAGAAGGCAGCCAUUUUGGUGUUGGAGGGAACAAUUAAGGAGCAGUAUGCAAGACUUAGAGAUUAUGGGAAUGAGCUGCAAAGGGUGGACCCCUCAACAACCAUUGAUAUUAAGUGUGACUUCAACAACUCUAACAAGAAUCCGGUGUUCAAGAUAUUUGUCCAAAAUAUUAAUGGUUUAAAACUCAUUUGGACAAAUAUUUGUGUUAGAGCUUUGAAAAAAGGAUUUCAAGCUGGUUGCAAAUCUGUGAUUUGCUUGGAUGGUUGCCAUUUGAGGUCUGCUUUUGGUGGCCAACUAUUGACAGCUGUGGGAGUAGAUGCCAACAACACCACUUGGGUAAUUGCCUAUGCCAUGGUCAAAAUGGAGGGCAAAGACAAUUGGAUUUGGUUUUUAGAGCUUAUGUGCAAGGACCUCAGUAUAAGGGAGGAUGGAGCAGUUUGGACAUUCAUCAGUGAUAAGCAAAAAGGGCUUCUCCCUAGUUUUGAAGAGGUUGUGCCAUCUGCCCACAUUAGAUGGUAUGUUAGGCAUAUGUGGACUAAUUUUACCAAGUUAUUUCCUGGAAAGGUGUUGAGGGAUCAGAUGUGGGCUUGUGCAAAGUCAACUACAAUUCCUUUGUAAAACAAAGGAAUUGGAUGAGAUGAAGGCACUCGAUAAUGAAGCAUACAAAUGGAUGAUGUACGAGGACAGGCCGACAAAGCAUUGGUGUUGAGCACACUUCAACACAUGUUCGAAGUGUGACAUUAUGAUCAACAAUUUAUUUGAGAGCUUCAACAGUUUCAUACUUGAUGCUAGAGGAAAGCCACCUGUUAGUAUGUUUGAGGAAAUUAGGGUGAAACUUAUGAAGAUGAUACAGUUGAGAAAGGAAAAGAUGCAAUAAAUGGUGGGAAAUAUAUGCCCCAAGCCGAGAGAUAUACUAGAAAAGAACAAGGUGAAGGCUGCCACUGAUUGUAUUCCAAAUCUGAAUGGUGGUGACAUUUGUGUGGUGGAGAAUAUUGAAGGCUAAAAGAAUGUGGUUGACCUCAAUGCAAGAACCUGCACAUUCAGAAGGUGAGACUUAAGUGGUGUUCCUUGCAAGCAUGCAGUCUCGGCUAUAUACCUCAAAAGGCAUAAUCCGGAAGACUAUGUUGCUGACUGUUACUUGAUCAAGACUUACAUAUCUAUCUAUGACAAUCUAAUCCAACCUAUUAAUGGAAUGGAGAUGUGGAGUAGAAGUGAAGAGGCAUGCAUACUUCCUCCACAGUAUUCAAGAUAGCCUGGAAGGCCAAAAAUAGUACAGAGAAGGGAUGCAUCAGAGAAGUUGGCUGAAAAUGGAACAAAGCUUGGAAGAAUCCAAAAGUCACUUAAGUGUGGGAACUGUGGAAGAGUUGGCCACAACAUGAAAACAUGUGAUAGGCAUCUUCCUCCAAAGGAUAAGAAUGCUGCAAAUAAGAAGAGGAAGAUGAACAGUGGAGAUGCUUCUUCAUCUCAGAAGAAGAUGGCUGAAUUGAAGGCAUCAAGGAAACAAGGAGCCAAAGCUACUGCUGCCACAACUACUAAGUCUGCCUAAGCUGCUGCCACAACUACUAAGUCUGCCUAAGCUGCUGCCACAUCUAGCUCAACAAGCACAAGGCCUCCAACUUCAACCAAAGCAUCAAAGGGCCAAGCUCCAAUAGCUUCCAGAUCAUCUCAGAGGAUCAGGGACAAUUCCAAACAAGGAAGGAAAUAGGAAAGAGAAACUAGAAUGUCACAUUAGCAAGCCAUACCAUUUUUUGUCCAACCAUGUUUUGUGUAACUUGGUUGGUAGCUCUAAUGCCCUUUUUGUUAAUAUGAUUAGAGCUAUUUGAAAUGCAAACCUAUGUUAUGUUGCAAACACAUUUGGGCUGCUAAGUCU